rnacentral:lncRNA from 1 species
CAGUAAUAGGCACUGGUGGUGAACAAAUAUAGAGACUGGAAUCCAGUGAGGUCACACGGGUGUUCUGGAAGCCAGUGAUGCCGUACUGGAAUCUGGGGACACCAUGAGGCAAUGUUUCAGCUGCCCCUGCAUUCCUCACCUCCCAUUGUUUCUGUCUCUCUCUCUCCAUCUCCCUUCCCCCCACCACCAAGAGCACAGACCCCACAGUGAGAAUUCUAAGCUUCAUUCCACAUCCAGGACCAGCAAAGAUCCACCAUCAGGGUUUUAACAAAACAUUCACAUUUAUUCUCCUGAGCACAACAGGAAAUGAAUGCUGGGUGAAUGCAAAGCCAGCAUGGUGAAUGUGCCCUGCAGAUCACCUGGGUGUCACCUGACCAUGACAAAGCCCUUGAACAAAAGCUCAGUAGCACCAAGAUCUGUGUGCUCCUCCAUGUUUCCCAGCCUUGCUGGUUGACACCUACCUCAGCUGACUGGCUUCUGGCUAAUGAAAUAUGAACAGAGAUACAAGCCACCUGAGGCCUGCCCUUCGAAACAUCCUCCAGCUGUUUUUUCCAUGGCGUCCUUAGAUGCCUCAUAUGCCACAUUUAUCAGAUCACCUGAUACCUCCAAGCAACCAGGUGUUUCUUUCAGAAGCCAGAAGCUGAUAACCUGGACCCACUAAUCUAACCCCCAGUCCAUGUUCUUUGUAGUGGAAGACUGACAGCGGAGAUUCUUUCUCCUGGGAGUGCUCCUGCAUGACUGCAUCUACUUAACCCACUCUCCAAGAUCUAGAAUCAGAUUUCAACCAUAUGGAAUCAUCCACGGUGCAGCAGAUGGGUUUACAAGUCUCUUGGUCUCUUCGUGUAACUAACAGCCAAGAAGUCUGAAGCUUGCAUUGUUUACAUGGAAGAUGUUUCUUGCUCUUCUCUUGCCCAUUCCCACGCCAUACCAUCUGAACUUGCCACCUUUUUUUUUUGUUUGUUCAGUGCAGUUCUUUAACUUUGUGGGGUCCUCUUCACAUGGACUCCAUUCCACUAUAAGUGGCUACUUCCCUGAAUCUGGCUGUGCUGUGAUCGGAUUCUUCAAUCCAGCCCAUCUUGUGCUCGGGGAAUGUGAGGAUAAUCCUGGCAAGUGAAGGGGGCAUCUGGAGGACACCCAGCAAUCCCUCUGCAGUGUUGCUCAGAGAGCAAUGGCUAGUACCAUAAAAGGGAAUCCCCAUCUUACAUGAGAGUAUGAGAGACCUGGUGUCUGGGGCCGUGUUGUGAAAAUCUCUGUAUCCUCUGCUCAGUGUCUAUUACAGAGAUUUACACAAGGGUGGAGAGUGGAGGGCAGAGAGUCAGUAGAAGGAGAAAUAGUGCAUUUGUCCCUCCCCCGGUGGCCUUGGUAUCCUCUUACUCUAAGGCUAUCUUUGUUCUUCUGUUCUUGGAAUCCAUCCCCCUAUGACAACCAGAGUAACUGAUUAUAAUUUGUAAAAUGCAUCACUACUUCAAAACACAUCCCACUGGUUUUCUAUA